GAUGAACGCUGGCGGCGUGCCUAAUACAUGCAAGUCGAGCGAACAGACGAGGAGCUUGCUCCUCUGACGUUAGCGGCGGACGGGUGAGUAACACGUGGAUAACCUACCUAUAAAACUGGGAUAACUUCGGGAAACCGGAGCUAAUACCGGAUAAUAUAUUGAACCGCAUGGUUCAAUAGUGAAAGACGGUUUUGCUGUCACUUAUAGAUGGAUCCGCGCCGCAUUAGCUAGUUGGUAAGGUAACGGCUUACCAAGGCAACGAUGCGUAGCCGACCUGAGAGGGUGAUCGGCCACACCGGAACUGAGACACGGUCCAGACUCAUACGGGAGGCAGCAGUAGGGAAUCUUCCGCAAUGGGCGAAAGCAUGACGGAGCAACGCCGCGUGAGUGAUGAAGGUCUUCGGAUCGUAAAACUCUGUUAUUAGGGAAGAACAAAUGUGUAAGUAACUAUGCACGUCUUGACGGUACCUAAUCAGAAAGCCACGGCUAACUACGUG
rnacentral:rRNA from 1 species